CUUAGGUAGUUUGGCGAUCUUCUCCUGUAAAUAAUCAAUAGUCCCUGAACAGCACUUGUAAAUUUGAGCGUAGAAAACUGGGUGAGAUGUUUUUAUGGUGAAAGAAGCUUCUCCUUGAAGUCCCUGCAGAAGCCCCAGGGGCAGAGUGACAUGGACAGGUUUUGGGGAUGUGGGCUGAAUGAUGCCAUUAUGGGGCUGCUGGAAUCUGGGGUGCCAGAGCUGUUGGUUGGAAAGCCCCCGGGUAUGAGGGCAAUGUGCCACUUUGACGACAGCCUCUGCCUCCAACUUUUUUGGGCCUGAACAGUGCGGAGGAUGAAAACUUCUCACCCAGCUUUCUACAUUCAAGUUUACAAGUGCUGCUCAGGACCCACUGAUUAUUUCCAGGGGAAGAUCACCAAACCGCCUAAGGCCGAGACUCCCAGGAUAGCGCAGCAUGCCCCGGAGUCCCCCAGCUCGAUUUGCUCAGAACUCAGAAAGAAAACAGCCCACACUCCUUGAACUUCAGGCACUGAUGGAGGCAUUUUCCAAAGAACAGUGACAAGGACGGCCAGCACCUCUCUUGCAUUCCUCAGUCUGACUCAAGCUGCUCUUCCACCCUCCUCCCCAGCUGGAGCUGAGGCUGAAGGCAGUUGAGGGCCACCAGGGAGAAGAGCUGGGUCAGGGCCGUGACUUGCCAGCAAGCAUGAGGCCAAGCAGAUGUGCCGGGCUUCAGAGAAGUGAUUUUACCCUGAGCUACACAGGCAGGAAGACCACCAGCCUGGAAGGGCCCUUCAGCCACUUUCCCAACAAACAGCAAAUCUCCGCCGAUUGAACUCUGACUGAGGCAAUGGGGGCAUGCCAGGCAACAAGGUGGAGGUUUGCUACCGUGGGAGCAGGGAGAGCGUGGAACACAGACGCUCUGGGUGUUGAAGAGGAGGCUUCACCCUUAAAUCCACACCAACAGCCCCCUUCACUUCCCCCGGUGAAGAACGAAGGACCCUGUGGGAUUUCUACUUCAAAUCUCUCAUUUAUUCCGACAUCCACUCGGUUAUGACUCCAAGUUAUCAAAGAUGCAAGACAAGAAGUCUAGAGCAGGAGUGGUGAAGUGGAGGUGGAGAAAGACGGCGGAGAGGGCUGUGUUCCUGGCCCCUCCUUCUCUUCCAAUUUAGGGCACCGUUUGAAAAGUGUACAAGUAGUGUCCCUUAGCACAGACUAGACAGCAGAAAAGGACAGUGCAGUUGAGUGGGGGAAGCUUCCUUUUCCACAGGGUGGGGCCCUGCGGCUGCAGCGGGCAGGCAGGCAAUCUCGAGCCUGGUUGGAGACCGUGCCCUGAGCAGCGUGGGCUAUGUGGGGAAGAGCUGGGGCCCACCAUCUCUCCAGCACCCCAAACCCAGAUUCUGAUUUGUGGGGCUAGCAGGGCUUAGCUAGGAAAGCGGUAGGAGGGAGGGGAUUGCACAGGACGCUUGUACUCAGGGACCCCAUCAAUCAGGGGCAAGAAGUGGGUGAUGGUUAACUGGGUCUUGAUUUUUACAAAGGCAGGACGUACGAAUGAUGUUAUUUCUGGCAAGGAGGACACGGCUGCUGUGGUUGAUUGGCUGUGGAAUUCCAGGGGAGCAAGGCACUAGGAAGUGGGGAACGCUGCCAGGCCCAGCAGCUCAUCAGGAGCUUGCACUUGGCCCAGUUAGGGCUGGCCGUGGGACGGGCUUGUUGAAGCUGCUGCCGCCAUAAGCUGCCCCUCUGCACCAGGAGACAGAUCCCAUUACCCCACCUACAGCUGCUUCCUGGUACAAGAGAAGAGUUACCAUUUGAAAUGACUCCACAGGAGAGUCUGACAAACAUGUUUGCUUUUCACUGACAAUUAAAAUUGUUUUGCUGCUAA
rnacentral:lncRNA from 1 species